AAACCAAGAAGAUUAAGUCAUGUAUUUUUGGUAAAAAGAUAGUUAGGUAAUGGAAGAGCUUGUUUAAUUUUUAUUAAGAAGUAAAAUUUAUAAAUAAUAUAGAAACUCAAAUAUAGCUAAAAAACUGAAGCUAUGAUACCCUUGGGGGAAACUGGGAUUAGAUACCCCAUUAUUCUUGGAAGUAAAAAAACAGAGUUUACCAGAGUACUAUGGAUUAAUGACAUUUAAAACUCAAAGAGCUUGGCGGUGUUUUAGACUCUUUAGGGGAACCUGUCUCAUAAUCGACAAUCCACGUAAAACCUGACCUUUAUUUGCUUUCAGUUUGUAUACCGUCGUCGUCAGGUAACUUUUUAGAAAAAAUAAGUUAGCAAAAGAGCUAGUAAUAAGCUCUUACGUCAGAUCAAGGUGCAGCCAACAUAAAGGAGAGGAUGGGUUACAAUUAUAAAAAUCAUAAUUACGAAAUAAUAUUGUUAAACAACAGUUAUGAAGGAGGACUUAAAAGUAAAAUAUAGUAUAUAAGUAUAUUGAAUCGAGCUCUGAAACGUGC
rnacentral:rRNA from 1 species